GUCGCUGGCGGCACGCCUACACACUGCAGUCUGAACGAAGUAGCAAUACUUAGUGGCAGACGGGUGAGUAACAUGUAGGUAUCUUCCCUUUGGCCUGGAAUAACACGAGGAAACUUGUGCUAAUACUGGAUAAGUCUUUACGGAGAAAGCUUUAUGCACCAUUGGAUGAGCCUGCACUUGAUUAGUUUGUUGGUAGGGUAAUGGCCUACCAAGACUGUGAUCAAUAGCUGAUUUGAGAGGAUGAUCAGCCACAUUGGGACUGAGACACGGCCCAAACUCCUACGGGAGGCAGCAGUGGGGAAUCUUGCACAAUGGAGGAAACUCUGAUGCAGCGAUGCCGCGUGAGUGAAGAAGGCCCUUGGGUUGUAAAGCUCUUUCGUCGGGGAAGAAAAUGACUGUACCCGAAUAAGAAGGUCCGGCUAACUUCGUGCCAGCAGCCGCGGUAAUACGAAGGGACCUAGCGUAGAUUCGGAAUUACUGGGCUUAAAGAGUUCGUAGUGGUUGAAAAAGUUGGUGGUGAAAUCCCAGAGCUUAACUCUGGAACUGCCAUCAAAACUUUUCA
rnacentral:rRNA from 1 species